rnacentral:rRNA from 1 species
CAGCCGCCGCGGGAAUACGUAGGUGGCAAGCGUUGUCCGGAAUUAUUGGGCGUAAAGGGCUCGCAGGCGGUUUCUUAAGUCUGAUGUGAAAGCCCCCGGCUCAACCGGGGAGGGUCAUUGGAAACUGGGAAACUUGAGUGCAGAAGAGGAGAGUGGAAUUCCACGUGUAGCGGUGAAAUGCGUAGAGAUGUGGAGGAACACCAGUGGCGAAGGUGACUCUCUGGUCUGUAACUGACGCUGAGGAGCGAAAGCGUGGGGAGCGAACAGGAUUAGAUACCCCGGUAGUCCCUGUCUCUUAUAC